rnacentral:rRNA from 1 species
AUUGAACGCUGGCGGCAGGCCUAACACAUGCAAGUCGAGCGGAUGAAGGGAGCUUGCCCCUGGAUUCAGCGGCGGACGGGUGAGUAAUGCCUAGGAAUCUGCCUGGUAGUGGGGGAUAACGUCCGGAAACGGGCGCUAAUACCGCAUACGUCCUGCGGGAGAAAGUGGGGGAUCUUCGGACCUCACGCUAUCAGAUGAGCCUAGGUCGGAUUAGCUAGUUGGUGGGGUAAAGGCCUACCAAGGCGACGAUCCGUAACUGGUCUGAGAGGAUGAUCAGUCACACUGGAACUGAGACACGGUCCAGACUCCUACGGGAGGCAGCAGUGGGGAAUAUUGGACAAUGGGCGAAAGCCUGAUCCAGCCAUGCCGCGUGUGUGAAGAAGGUCUUCGGAUUGUAAAGCACUUUAAGUUGGGAGGAAGGGCAGUAAGUUAAUACCUUGCUGUUUUGACGUUACCAACAGAAUAAGCACCGGCUAACUUCGUG